AACGCACCUUGCGCUCCUUGGUAUUCCGAGGAGCAUGCCUGUUUGAGUGUCAUGAAAUCUUCAACCUAUAAACCUUUGCGGGUUUGUAGGCUUGGAUUUGGAGGCUUGUCGGCCUAACGGUCGGCUCCUCUUAAAUGCAUUAGCUUGAUUCCUUGCGGAUCGGCUCUCGGUGUGAUAAUUGUCUACGCCGCGACCGUGAAGCGUUUGGCGAGCUUCUAAUCGUCUCUUAUGAGACAACACAUUGACCUCUGACCUCAAAUCAGGUAGGACUACCCGCUGAACUUAA
rnacentral:misc_RNA from 1 species